rnacentral:rRNA from 1 species
AUUGAACGCUGGCGGCAUGCCUUACACAUGCAAGUCGAACGGCAGCACGGAGCUUGCUCUGGUGGCGAGUGGCGAACGGGUGAGUAAUAUAUCGGAACGUACCCUAGAGUGGGGGAUAACGUAGCGAAAGUUACGCUAAUACCGCAUACGAUCUAAGGAUGAAAGUGGGGGAUCGCAAGACCUCAUGCUCGUGGAGCGGCCGAUAUCUGAUUAGCUAGUUGGUAGGGUAAAAGCCUACCAAGGCAUCGAUCAGUAGCUGGUCUGAGAGGACGACCAGCCACACUGGAACUGAGACACGGUCCAGACUCCUACGGGAGGCAGCAGUGGGGAAUUUUGGACAAUGGGCGAAAGCCUGAUCCAGCAAUGCCGCGUGAGUGAAGAAGGCCUUCGGGUUGUAAAGCUCUUUUGUCAGGGAAGAAACGGUGAGAGCUAAUAUCUCUUGCUAAUGACGGUACCUGAAGAAUAAGCACCGGCUAACUACGUGCCAGCAGCCGCGGUAAUACGUAGGGUGCAAGCGUUAAUCGGAAUUACUGGGCGUAAAGCGUGCGCAGGCGGUUUUGUAGGUCUGAUGUGAAAUCCCCGGGCUCAACCUGGGAAUUGCAUUGGAGACUGCAAGGCUAGAAUCUGGCAGAGGGGGGUAGAAUUCCACGUGUAGCAGUGAAAUGCGUAGAUAUGUGGAGGAACACCGAUGGCGAAGGCAGCCCCCUGGGUCAAGAUUGACGCUCAUGCACGAAAGCGUGGGGAGCAAACAGGAUUAGAUACCUUGGUAGUCCACCCCCUAAACGAUGUCUACUAGUUGUCGGGUCUUAAUUGACUUGGUAACGCAGCUAACGCGUGAAGUAGACCGCCUGGGGAGUACGGUCGCAAGAUUAAAACUCAAAGGAAUUGACGGGGACCCGCACAAGCGGUGGAUGAUGUGGAUUAAUUCGAUGCAACGCGAAAAACCUUACCUACCCUUGACAUGGCUGGAAUCCUUGAGAGAUCAGGGAGUGCUCGAAAGAGAACCAGUACACAGGUGCUGCAUGGCUGUCGUCAGCUCGUGUCGUGAGAUGUUGGGUUAAGUCCCGCAACGAGCGCAACCCUUGCCAUUAGUUGCUACGAAAGGGCACUCUAAUGAGACUGCCGGUGACAAACCGGAGGAAGGUGGGGAUGACGUCAAGUCCUCAUGGCCCUUAUGGGUAGGGCUUCACCCGUCAUACAAUGGUACAUACAGAGCGCCGCCAACCCGCGAGGGGGAGCUAAUCGCAGAAAGUGUAUCGCAGUCCGGAUUGUAGUCUGCAACUCGACUGCAUGAAGUUGGAAUCGCUAGUAAUCGCGGAUCAGCAUGUCGCGGUGAAUACGUUCCCGGGUCU